AACGAACGCUGGCGGCAUGCCUAACACAUGCAAGUCGAACGAGACCUUCGGGUCUAGUGGCGCACGGGUGCGUAACGCGUGGGAAUCUGCCCUUGGGUUCGGAAUAACAGUUGGAAACGACUGCUAAUACCGGAUGAUGACGUAAGUCCAAAGAUUUAUCGCCCAAGGAUGAGCCCGCGUAGGAUUAGCUAGUUGGUGAGGUAAAGGCUCACCAAGGCGACGAUCCUUAGCUGGUCUGAGAGGAUGAUCAGCCACACUGGGACUGAGACACGGCCCAGACUCCUACGGGAGGCAGGAGUGGGGAAUAUUGGACAAUGGGCGAAAGCAUGAUCCAGCAAUGCCGCGUGAGUGAUGAAGGCCUUAGGGUUGUAAAGCUCUUUUACCCGGGAUGAUAAUGACAGUACCGGGAGAAUAAGCUCCGGCUAACUCCGUG
rnacentral:rRNA from 1 species